rnacentral:siRNA from 1 species
UCCCAGAUGUGUGCUUUGUCGCC